AACGAACGCUGGCGGCAUGCCUAACACAUGCAAGUCGAACGAGACCUUCGGGCCUAGUGGCGCACGGGUGCGUAACGCGUGGGAACCUGCCCUUAGGUUCGCAAUAACUCCCCGAAAGGGGUGCUAGUACCGGAUAAUGUCUUCCGACCAAAGAUUUAUCGCCAUUGGAUGGGCGCGCGUUGGAUUAGCUAGUUGGUAGGGUAAAAGCCUAUCAAGGCGACGAUGCAUAGCUGGUCUGAGAGGAUGAUCAGCCACACUGGGGAUGAGACACGGCCCAGACUCCUACGGAAGGGAGGAGUGGGGAAUACAGGACAAUGGGGGAAAGCCUGAUCCAGCAAUGCCGCGUGAGUGAUGAAGGCCGUAGGGUUGUAAAGCUCUUUUACACGGGAUGAUAAUGACAGUACCGGGAGAAUAAGCACCGGCUAACUCCGUG
rnacentral:rRNA from 1 species